GACGAACGCUGGCGGCGUGCUUAACACAUGCAAGUCGAGCGGUAAGGCCCUUUCGGGGGUACACGAGCGGCGAACGGGUGAGUAACACGUGGGUGACCUGCCUUUAGCUCUGGGAUAAGCCUGGGAAACCGGGUCUAAUACCGGAUAUGACUCCGCGGCGCAUGUUGUGGGGUGGAAAGCCCUGUGCGGCUGAGGAUGGGCCCGCGGCCUAUCAGCUUGUUGGUGGGGUGANGGCCUACCAAGGCGACGACGGGUAGCCGGCCUGAGAGGGCGACCGGCCACACUGGGACUGAGACACGGCCCAGACUCCUACGGGAGGCAGCAGUGGGGAAUCUUGCGCAAUGGGC
rnacentral:rRNA from 1 species